GCGAAACCUCUGAUGUGGCGUCCGGGUCGCGGGCAAAUGCGUGAGUCACAUACCGCACCGUGGGGGAGGAGCCUGUCUCGAGUCAAACUUCUCCAUUGUCUUACGCUUCCUGUUUUUCAGGCCUGACGGAGGAGAAUUGGAGACGUGUCUGGAAGUGUCUGCGGCAGCCUCGUGACCCGAGCAGGCGGGGUACUUCCCGAUUCAGGCUGCCGAGCAGGACUGGAGAUGUGCGGUUCAGGACAACCAAAGAGGCGAUGUCCGCAGCAGAGCGCCCCGUCAUUCAAAUGGAGUGCAAGACCGCGUCCCUGUUUUUGCACCCGGGGUUGCCAUGACGACUUACCGCCAAUGGUAGACACGUGUGACACUGGUAGGAGAGACUGA
rnacentral:lncRNA from 1 species